rnacentral:rRNA from 1 species
GACAGAGGGGGCAAGCGUUGCUCGGAAUUACUGGGCGUAAAGGGCGCGUAGGCGGCCAGCGCAAGUCAGUUGUGAAAUCUCCGGGCUUAACUCGGAAAGGUCAACUGAUACUGCGCGGCUAGAGUGCGGAAGGGGCAACUGGAAUUCUCGGUGUAGCGGUGAAAUGCGUAGAUAUCGAGAGGAACACCUGCGGCGAAGGCGGGUUGCUGGGCCGACACUGACGCUGAAGCGCGAAAGCUAGGGGAGCGAACGGG